GACGAACGCUGGCGGCGUGCUUAACACAUGCAAGUCGAACGGAAAGGCCCCUUUGGGGGUACUCGAGUGGCGAACGGGUGAGUAACACGUGAGUAACCUGCCCUUGACUUCGGGAUAACUUCAGGAAACUGGGGCUAAUACCGGAUAGGAAUCCUUGCUGCAUGGUGGGGGUUGGAAAGCUUCGGCGGUUUUGGAUGGACUCGCGGCUUAUCAGCUUGUUGGUGGGGUAGUGGCUUACCAAGGCGUUGACGGGUAGCCGGCCUGAGAGGGCGACCGGCCACAUUGGGACUGAGAGACGGCCCAGACUCCUACGGGAGGCAGCAGUGGGGAAUAUUGCACAAUGGGCGGAAGCCUGAUGCAGCAACGCCGCGUGCGGGAUGACGGCCUUCGGGUUGUAAACCGCUUUCAGCAGGGGCGAAGCUUGUGGUGACGGUACCUGCAGAAGAAGCACCGGCUAACUACGUG
rnacentral:rRNA from 1 species